rnacentral:rRNA from 1 species
CGUUUCUCCGCCGGCGACCGGCGCACGGGUGAGUAACACGUAUGCAACCUGCCCCUGUCAGGGGGACAACCCGCCGAAAGGCGGGCUAAACCCGCGUACAUGCCACCGGGGCAUCCCGGAGGCAGGAAAAGGCUUCGGCCGGGACAGGGAUGGGCAUGCGGCGCAUUAGGCAGUAGGCGGGGUAACGGCCCACCUAACCGACGAUGCGUAGGGGUUCUGAGAGGAAGGUCCCCCACACUGGUACUGAGACACGGACCAGACUCCUACGGAAGGCAGCAG